AGGAUAGAGGCGCGGCUGUCAAGAAUAGGCCCGGCGCAAGAGGCAUCGCAAAGCCGUUGUCGGGGCCGAAAGGGGCAGCUGCCGAAGGGGAAGCGGGCGCGCUUUCUCUGGGCAGGCGGACAACAUCCGGCUGACUGUCACGAAUUGUGUGGAGAGCUAUGGA
rnacentral:ncRNA from 1 species